rnacentral:rRNA from 1 species
AAAGGUAGCAUAAUCAAUUGGCUUAUAAUUGAAGUCUAGUAUGAAUGGGAAUCCGGGGAAUAACUUUCAAAUUAAGAUAAUAUAAAUUACUUAAUGAGUGAAAAGUCUCAUAUUCAGAAGAAAGACGAGAAGACCCUAGAAAUUUUACUAUAUAAGUUUUAUAUAUUAUUUUGUUGGGGCGACAUAGUAACAAAUAACUUACUAUAAUAUACAAGCUACUAAUAAGUUGGGAGAAUAAAUUACUCUAGGGAUAACAGCAUUAUUCAAUAUGAGUUUAUGACCUCGAUGUUGGACUAGGAAAUAAUUUCUUUAGAAGAUAAAUUAUAUAAGCUCUGUUCGAGCUUUUUCUCCUACAU